AUUAUGCUAAUUAAAGGGUAUAGCCGCACGGCUAUACCAUUAAGAUAUUAUAUUUUAGAGUAUAGCCGCACGGCUAUACCUUUAAGAUAUUCUAUC
rnacentral:miRNA from 1 species